CCUACGGGUGGCAGCAGGGGGGGAUAUUGCACAAUGGAGGAAACUCUGAUGCAGCGACGCCGCGGGAGGGAAGACGGUCUUCGGAUGGUAAAACUCUGUCUUUGGGGAAGAAAAUGACGGUACCCAAAGAGGAAGCUCCGGCCAACAACGUGCCAGCAGCCGCGGUAAUACGAAGGGAGCGAGCGUUUUCCGGAUUUACUGGGUGUAACGGGAGCGUAGGCGGGCGAGAAAGUUGAUUGUUAAAUCUACCGGCUUAACUGGUAGCUGCGUUCAAAACUUCUUGUCUUGAGUGAAGUAGAGGCAGGCGGAAUUCCUAGUGUAGCGGUGAAAUGCGUAGAUAUUAGGAGGAACACCAGUGGCGAAGGCGGCCUGCUGGGCUUUAACUGACGCUGAGGCUCGAAAGCGUGGGGAGCAAACAGGAUUAGAUACCCUUGUAGUC
rnacentral:rRNA from 1 species